GUAUAUUUUAUGGUACCCUUGGUUUACUAACCACACCCAAAAAAGAAGUUUUAUAUAAAAAUAGAUUUAGUAUAAUGAUUUCGAUUAAAACACGGUCCAAAAUUUAUUCUCCUGUUUCAUUGUUUUAAUUCUUCUACAUUGUUGUUGUCGUGGUCGUCGACUCAAGGCUGCCGGUCAGAAUGCACUUUCAUUCGUUGCUACUUGCUCAAGACCUCAAGACAAAAAGCAUAGGUCGUGUUGCUAUGCAAACUGCGCAAUGUGUGUUCUCUGCAAAUGGUGUGCAAACGAGUUGAUUUUUAAACUUUUAUUUUAAAAUCAAGUUAAAAAAACAUUACGAACAAAUAUAAUACAAAACGUCUAUGAACAGAGAAGAGGUCAAUAAAUACAAGUCACACCUGCACUUAUCAAGAAUUGAGUUAAUCAAUAGGAAGCUAUAAGUCUAGUAUUAGAAUCCUAAGCCUUCUGGAAGCUAUAGGUGAAACCAUCGGGCGACCUGUUCAGGUUAAGCUUGCCGGGUGGGUAGAAUCUGUGUGGUGCUUGCGUCGUCUGUUGGUAUUGUUGGUAUUGUGGUUGGGCAGCGGGUUGCUGAUACUGUGGUUGUUGGUAAGCAGCUUGUUGCUGAUAUUGUGGAGUGUACUGAGGUUGAGCGGGUUGUUGAUAUUGCUGGUAUUGUUGUGGGUUGUAUUGUGGUUGUUGGUACUGUGGUUGUUGAUAUUGAGGUUGUUGAUAUUGUGGUUGUUGGUAUGUUGGUGAGUUGUAUUGUGGGAGGGGUUGGUAUUGUGGGGCGGGUGGGGUUGGCACUGGGGCCGCUGGAGCUUGAGGGAGAUGGUCACCGGUGGCUUGGAAACCGUUCUUGCCGGCGGUGUAAGUCACAGUACGCCUCUGACCAGAUGGGUCCACGUAAGAGUAAGAACCGUGGCGGGUACCAUCAGCAUCACUCUCUUCUUUGAACUCGACUCCAUCUUCUUGCGAGUAU